GCCAAUGAUCAUUACCUUAUGAGUGUGCUGUAAAUAUUGAGGAUCUCAUAAAACUAGGUGAUGUGAUGACAGAACACUCUUUGGGGCCUAAUGGAGGUCUUGUCUACUGUAUGGAUUAUUUAGAGAAAAAUAUUGAUUGGUUGCAGUCUAAACUGGAACCUCUUUUGAAAGAACACUAUCUUCUUUUCGAUUUUCCGGGGCAGGUUGAACUAUUUUUCCUUCACUCAAAUGCCAAGAAUGUUGUCAUGAAGCUCAUUAAAAAGUUGGAUCUAGGGU